GACGAACGCUGGCGGCGUGCCUAAUACAUGCAAGUAGAACGCACAGUUUAUACCGUAGCUUGCUACACCAUAGACUGUGAGUUGCGAACGGGUGAGUAACGCGUAGGUAACCUGCCUGGUAGCGGGGGAUAACUAUUGGAAACGAUAGCUAAUACCGCAUAAUAUUGAUUAUUGCAUGAUAAUUGAUUGAAAGAUGCUAUUGCAUCACUACCAGAUGGACCUGCGUUGUAUUAGCUAGUAGGUGAGGUAACGGCUCACCUAGGCGACGAUACAUAGCCGACCUGCGAGGGUGAGCGGCCACACUGGGACUGAGACACGGCCCAGACUCCUACAGGUGGCAGCAGUAGGGAAUCUUCGGCAAUGGGCGGAAGUCUGACCGAGCAACGCCGCGUGAGUGAAGAAGGUUUUCGGAUCGUAAAGCUCUGUUGUAAGAGAAGAACGGGUGUGAGAGUGGAAAGUUCACACUGUGACGGUAUCUGACCAGAAAGGGACGGCUAACUACGUG
rnacentral:rRNA from 1 species